AAGGGCACCCACAAGAACGCGUGGAGCAUGUGGCUUAAUUUGACUCAACGCGGGAAAUCUUACCGGGUCCGGACACACUGAGGAUUGACAGGUAACAUCGAAUAUAUACUCUCUCUCUCUCUCGAGUUGAGAGUUGUGUAUUUUCGUAUAAAUAUGCUAGUCCUUUCAUGAUUAUGUGAUAGGUGGUGCAUGGCCGUUCUUAGUUCGUGGAGUGAUCUGUCUGCUUAAUUGCGUUUCACUAUUUGGGUCUAUACACUAUUAUUCUCAUCACACAACUGACCCUUUCCCUUCWUUUUUUUUUAAGCGAUUAUGAUUGUGCGUCUUAUUGUGUAUARAAUAUAAWARACCCUGAAAGCAACRAACGUGACCGCAUCCUCUUGUUGYUUUCAUCACACAUACAACAAUCUCAUGCUUCUGUGUGAUAUUGGUGUAUAARAAAGCCUCGUAUACAUACAUCGCGUGCUGUAUAUUUUAUUGCAGGCAUUCACGUGUCUUGUAUAUAAUUUAUUGCAUGUUACGUGAUAUUCAUAUGUAUAAAACUAGAGGGACCGCUGUUAUCUUCUUAAACCAGAGGAAGGUUGCGGCAAUAACAGGUCUGUGAUGCCCUUAGAUGUUCCGGGCUGCACACGUGCUACAAUGAUUAUUGCAGUGAGCAUCUCAUUUACGCUAUACAUCGCAUGUGUCGAUUAUUAUCAUUAUCAUUAUGACUUUCACGAGUCACUAUGUGUAAUGUGUAAUGUGUCUGACACGCGAUUAAGCCUACUUUGAAAGUAAGCGGGUAAUCAAUUAGAAGUAGUGAUUUCCUUAUUUUUCUGCACAAUUAUAUAUGGCAUAUAUACCCGGCGUACCUUUGUUGUACGUUCUUUGUGUGUAUAUAUGUGGCUAUAUAUAUUUAUGCUUUAU
rnacentral:rRNA from 1 species